UACAGAGGUCUCAAGCGUUGUUCGGAUUCAUUGGGCGUAAAGGGUAGGUAGGUGGUCUCGUUUGUCUGGGGUGAAAGCCUUGAGCUUAACUCAAGAAGUGCCCCAGAAACGGCGAGACUAGAGUUCUGGAGAGGGUCGUGGAAUUCCCGGUGUAGCGGUGAAAUGCGUAGAGAUCGGGAGGAACACCAGAGGCGAAGGCGGCGACCUGGACAGAUACUGACACUCAACUACGAAAGCGUGGGGAGCAAACAGG
rnacentral:rRNA from 1 species